UUCUCAUGAUGAAAACCUUUUUGUCAGUUCUGCUUCUGAGUAUCUGUGGUGAUAUCUAUAGUGUUCUGAAGA